UCCACGUUCUGCCCCUCUCUCUCUCGAUAAGCGAUUCUAGAAAAAAUCUGUCUCUCAUCAAAUCAUCAUCAUAAUCACCUUUCUUCUUCAUCUUCGUCAUCAAAUCAUCAUCAACUCAUCAUCAUCAUCAAAUCAUCAAAUCUGUCUCUCAUCAAAUCAUCAUCAUAAUCACCUUUCUUCUUCAUCUUCGUCAUUUACAGCUCUUCUCUCUGUCAAACAUGAGAUCGACCUUUUAACUGUCCAAACCCUAAUCUCGAGUUUUAAACGAUCUGAAGAUUGUGGCGGCGGCUAGAUCAGAGCCAAAUCUGGUGGAAUUUGAACGACGAUGUCGAUAAUGAUAUUGACGCCGCCGACGGUAUUACCGCAGCUGAUGUAGUGUCUCUCAAAAUACUCGAUUCCACUAAAAGCAGACUCUGCUAUAAACGAGAUCUACUUGCCAUUGUUGAGGCUGGUGAACAGCAAGCUUGAUCUUAAAGCCAUUGCUUUGCAGGCGAGGAAUGCUAAACACAAUCCCAAGAUUCAGCUGUGGUGGACAGUGUUCAGAGGCUAUUCACCUAUGAAGAGCUAAUGGACAUAACUGAAGAAUUUAAGCGAUACAUACUCGGCGAAGGAGGGUUUUAAUCAAUAGCCGCAUUGCUGUUAAGUAGCUUAAGGGAAGGGACUAAAGGUUAAUAUCACUUUCAUGUGCCUGGAGUCGUUGAGAAAGCAGGAGCUGAAGUCAAAGGGUGUUGAAGAAUCACUUAGCGAGGUAUAUUUAGCAACACAACUAGGUCGAGCUAUAUGCUGAUAUGCACUUGGAAUGGGAUUGGGAAACGAAUGGAAGAAGUCUUUUUUGAAUGGUUAAGUUCUUGUGUAAGAGUUACUUCUUGUUUUCUUGAUUAGUGUUUUUUUUUUUGUCGGCCAUUAUUGUACUUGGGAAUGUUAUGUAAUAAGAUGUGUUUGGUUAAUGUAAUAAUAAUUUUAUGUAUUUU